rnacentral:rRNA from 1 species
GAUGAACGCUAGCUACAGGCUUAACACAUGCAAGUCGAGGGGCAGCGGGAUUGAAGCUUGCUUCAAUUGCCGGCGACCGGCGCACGGGUGAGUAACGCGUAUCCAACCUUCCGUACACUCAGGGAUAGCCUUUCGAAAGAAGAUUAAUACCUGAUGGUAUGAUGAGAUUGCAUGAUAGCAUCAUUAAAGAUUUAUCGGUGUACGAUGGGGAUGCGUUCCAUUAGGUAGUAGGCGGGGUAACGGCCCACCUAGCCUACGAUGGAUAGGGGUUCUGAGAGGAAGGCCCCCCACAUUGGAACUGAGACACGGACCAAACUCCUACGGGAGGCAGCAGUGAGGAAUAUUGGUCAAUGGGCGCGAGUCUGAACCAGCCAAGUCGCGUGAGGGAUGAAGGUUCUAUGGAUCGUAAAACCUCUUUUAUAAGGGAAUAAAGUGCGGGACGUGUCCCGUUUUGUAUGUACCUUAUGAAUAAGGAUCGGCUAACUCCGUGCCAGCAGCCGACGG